GACCCUCCCAGCUUGUGUCAUACAGCCCAGCAAAUGGUUUCACAGCCUUUCAGAGGAGUCAGUGCUCAAGCUAUGACACUUCAAAAAGCAGCUGGGAGGAGUGUGUCUUUCACACUUAGAGGUGGAAGAACAGCAGGAGCAGAGGACACAGCUUCCUCCAGCGGUCUACAGAGCGACUGUCUCCGGCUGCCUGCCCUCUCCUGGGCAGGAGGAGCGCUGUUGAGCUGGCAGCCAGCCGGACUGGAGCUCCUCUCUGUCCUUCAGCCCUGGUCCUGCACCGUGCUGGAGGAGGGGUCAUACGGCACAACCUGGCAGAACACACAGCCAGCCUCCUGGAAGGCCCGCUUCAGCUCCCCCUGGUGGCAGAACACAGAGCCCUCAGACCACAGGACAACCCGUCUACAGGCAGCUCGCCGGCAGGUAGAGUUUGCAGGGCUCCUCUCUAUGCCCUCAGGGAAAUGAGGCAGAGAAAUCGGGGGCCUAAUUCGAAAUCUGAGACAGGUUUAUAAACAUUUUGUAUGUACUUAUUUAUAAAAACAUGACUGUGCCUGCAAUGACCAGCAUCCCAAAUCUAACAGAUCUCCCGAAGCCAUGGGCCCUGUCACCUCUGUUUUGCUUUGACAGGUCCUGACAGAGGCACCACAUGCCCCAGCUUCAGCUGGCGGGGGCCUUAGGAGUGAUUCCUGACCCCAGCCAGACCCUUAUCCCGACCCAGGCAGUGGUGUGAAGGAGAAAGGCAGGGAUGUGUGAGACCAGCCCACUCUUACCAGCUUGUGAGGGUCAAGACAGAGUCCCACCACAGCUCCUCCACUGCCUGGCAGCUUCGCUGCUGAGCCGAACUGGGGAGACACACGAAACGCAUGGUGACAAACCCUUGCACACCCUUCCUGCUCGAGUGAAGAUCUGUAAUGUAUCUCUUUGUCUAACUGUGGAGUACAGUUAGAAGCUGAUGGAUCAGCAUCUUGCCUAGUGAGGCUUUAAUAAGUCUUUAAUAAUCAUCUGUAAUGAAAUUCAGAACUGGCAUCUUGGAAGCCGUAGCAAAGGCAGAAAUGCCCAGAUUAAAAGAAAUUCAGCAUUCAGCAUAGGACCUGCUGUACCUGUCGUGCCAGUUCCACCAUCUUCAGAUUGCCCUGUCCCAGACACUCAUCGGUGUAGACAGACCUGCGAGAGAGAAGAGGGCUGACUAUGGCCCCGAGCCACGAUUGAGCUCUCCUGCAUGAGGAAGUACUACAGACGCAGGCGUCCGUGUGAGAUCUGCAUCCUCUCUCACUUCUGAUCUUUCCAAAGAACAGAAAACGAGGCGGGGCAAAGUUAAGCAAGGGAAGUAAUGAUAUAUCUACAGACUGGCAGCUGCAGCCCCAGGGUAUGCCAGUUUGAACCAUUCCAGCUUUUACUGUAAGCUGCAGGCUCCUGUUAUAAGUCAGAACAAUGUGCUUU
rnacentral:lncRNA from 1 species